ensembl:lncRNA
GAAACACGUUACGGUUCCAGCUGAUUGAAUGGGUAGAAGAAACAUUUAGACGUUACGGUUCCAGCUGAUUGAAUGGGUAGAAGAAACAUUUAGACGUUACGGUUCCAGCUGAUUGAAUGGGUAGAAGAAACAUUAGAGGUGUUUCUAUUCCUCCACUGCACACUUGAGUUUGAAUUUGUGAACCAUUUUAUUUGUCAAUCACUGCAAUGCAAUACUGGCAUAGGGUUUGAAGGUGAUGAUAAUAUUCACUCUGUUACAAGUGGCAAGACUUCCUGCUUUACAAUGAGUGACAAUCAUUCAAUGUACACAGACUAAAUCGAAAUCCAGACUGAUUAAGGGAUAUCUAUCUCACAAGAAUGGAUUUACAGAAACAAAAAUUCUGAUACAAUUUUUGGGUAAUAUUUUAAUGCUAAUAUUGGAAUAGAUGAAUCUAGCCCUGACCAACCAUUCCCAUUGGAAUUACACUGAUGCUGUAUAUCUGCCUGCAGGACAGGCUGUUCGUCUAUUAGUCAAACCAAACCAAACCUUUCCUCUGGACAAAACCCCAUAUUUCCCUAUUUUCCCUGCAGUCUGCUCUAGUAUUGGUAGCCUGUGGUACCAUAAGCUCUCUUGUGCCUCUCAAAUAGUCCAGAAUGAUUCAUGUCCCUGUAUUUUCUUCAUUGAUAUUUUUCUGUCCACGCUCCAGUCUGGGGUUUUGAUCCAUAUAACCAGUGGUUCAUAACGCGUAAUAUUUCAGUUUUGUCGUUUCUCUUUACUGCUGAUGAGCAGAAUUUAAAAUGAAAGCACAGCAAAGUCCUCUUCUGACUCUGUAAAACUGAAAUAUGGUGCUAAUCAUCAGUCACAUAGGCUGUGUUUACACCCAAUUCUGAUCUUUUUUCUUUUUAUCACUAAUUGGUCUUUUGACUAAUCAGAUCAGCUCUAAAAAAUAUAUAUGGUCUGAUGGGUAAAAAUACAAAUUAGUGAAAAAAAUAUCAGAAUUAGGUUGCCUGUGUAAAUGCAGCCUAACUGCUCUGCUUCUUCUUGUCUGCGUUGGUUUAUCUUGUUUUGACCAUCAGAUGGCGCUGUGGCAAUCUUCAUAAUUCACCACUACUAUCUACUCUGUUGGAUUUGUCAUCUUGAUAUUUCACAACAAUUCCCCCUGGUCAUAUAUAUGCAAAGUGAAUCACCACGUUAACAUGGUGUUUCAUGGCCUUGUUUAGUGAUUUUAUAAAAGUGAAAGCAUAGGGAGGGAUCAUUGGCAUUUUGAUUGAUUGGUUCAUUCACAUUUACUGACUUGCCUUAAUAGACAUAUUCCGCUUUUGACAGGUGUGAACGUUCUUAGACCCUACCCUUUAUCACUUGAUAUUCUUCUGGGAACAUCUGCUAAUCAUCCCUUCAACAACAACUGUCAUGGCCGUCUACAGUAUAGAUGUUGAGCAGUGCUACAGUAGCUCUGAAAUGUUGUACAUGAUGCAUAGUGACAAAUGCAGAGAUGGGGGAGACCAUUAUGCUCAAAUUGAAAUGCACUAGAAUAUUAGCCAGCAUCUGUGAGGAGUUGGAGUGGGUUUUACAGUUAUACUGUAUACCAGUGCUUUUAAAGUCAUUUGUUGUUUGUACUAAAAAGGUACAAUUUGUAUUUCUUGCAGAAUUUCAUGUAAAAAUAAAAAAUAAAAGGGCAAAGCAACCAUUAUGUAAAUAUGUGUCAUGUACAAAUUUAACUUUUAAAGUAUUGUUUGUGGAUUUUUGGAUCGAUUUAAGCUUUUUAUAAUGAGGCUUUAUUUAUCAGUGUCCUCCCUGUUUUGGAGGUAUAAAAUGUAAAUUCAUUUUUCUCUUAAUAAAUAACUAUUAUUGUUUGUCAACUGA